GACGAACCGUGCGAACGUUGUUCGGAAUCACUGGGCUUAAAGGGCGCGUAGGCGGGCGGCCGCGUCCGGGGUGAAAUCCCACGGCUCAACCGUGGAACGGCCUCGGAUACGGGCGGCCUCGAGGGGGGUAGGGGCAUCUGGAACUGUGAGUGGAGCGGUGAAAUGCGUUGAUAUUCGCAAGAACACCAGUGGCGAAGGCGGCUCACUGGCCCGAUACUGACGCUGAGGUGCGAAAGCGUGGGGAGCAAACAGGG
rnacentral:rRNA from 1 species